CAGUCGAACGGAGUUAUCAUUUUAGAAGCAAUUAGCUUGCUAAGAGUGGAAGAGAGGAUAACUUAGUGGCGGACGGGUGAGUAACGCGUGGGGAACCUGCCCUGCACCGGGGGAUAACACCUGGAAACAGGUGCUAAUACCGCAUAAGCGCACGAGGCCGCAUGGCCAGGUGUGAAAAACUAAGGUGGUGCAGGAUGGACCCGCGUCUGAUUAGCUUGUUGGUAGGGUAACGGCCUACCAAGGCGACGAUCAGUAGCCGGCCUGAGAGGGUGAACGGCCACAUUGGGACUGAGACACGGCCCAAACUCCUACGGGAGGCAGCAGUGGGGAAUAUUGGACAAUGGGGGAAACCCUGAUCCAGCGACGCCGCGUGAGUGAAGAAGUAUUUCGGUAUGUAAAGCUCUAUCAGCAGGGAAGAAAAUGACGGUACCUGACUAAGAAGCCCCGGCUAACUACGUGCCAGCAGCCGCGGUAAUACGUAGGGGGCAAGCGUUAUCCGGAUUUACUGGGUGUAAAGGGAGCGUAGACGGCAUAGCAAGUCUGAUGUGAAAGAUCGGGGCUCAACCCCGGGCCUGCAUUGGAAACUGUUAAGCUGGAGUACAGGAGAGGUAAGCGGAAUUCCUAGUGUAGCGGUGAAAUGCGUAGAUAUUAGGAGGAACACCAGUGGCGAAGGCGGCUUACUGGACUGUAACUGACGUUGAGGCUCGAAAGCGUGGGGAGCAAACAGGAUUAGAUACCCUGGUAGUCCACGCCGUANACGAUGAUUACUAG
rnacentral:rRNA from 1 species